rnacentral:rRNA from 1 species
GUCUAUGGCCAUACCAUCCUGAACGUGUCUGAUCCCAUCUGAUCUCAGAAACUAAGCAGGGUAGGGCCUGGUAAGUACUUAGAUGGGAGAAGUUUAAAAUGACACAAAUA